UCAAAGCAUCAAGCUUGGCUUGUCGUUGGGCCCUUUAUCACUUGGUGAUAGGUCCAAAAGAUAAUGAGCGGUGCCCUAAGGACCCUAUAUGCAACGAGCUUCUAACAGCACGCAUGUAGUGGUCGUACGGCCCAGUCUACACCCCUAUUUCUCAA
rnacentral:misc_RNA from 2 species